ACUGAGGUUGCAGCAGUUGGAUGUUCGUUGUGAGACCAAGACAAAGGUCUGUCUAUUUCAAGAAUGAUAGUUUAACCUUGGGAGCUGCUGGGUGGUUUUGAAUAUUUAAUAUUUCUGGAUGCUUUUUGGUUGGUAUUAAAUCCUUUUUUGAAUAUUUCCUUGGUUCUAAAUUUCUAAUCUUGUAGGCUUGAAUCAUUUAACCAAUUUGGGCACAUAAUGAUGAAGAGAAAAAACAGGGAGCUAUUUCUUUUGUUCAUUUCUCUUCAGAAUUCAGGGACUGUUGUGAUUCUUUUAUUUUUACAACUUCACCCUCUGUUUUCACAUCCUUUUUAUCUUAUUUUUCUUUGGGGGAUUUGGGUUGGAAAGGGAGUAGGUCAACCACAAAACCACGUCUGUGCUACCUUUAGUUUUGUAAUUGUGCUGAAUUGCUGAUUGAUGUUACACAUACCCCUAAUGUUGGCAGCUGAGACAAACUGACCCUUCUUUCCAUUUAUUUUCAGGACAAUGUAUUUGUUAAUGUUG
rnacentral:misc_RNA from 1 species